GUUUUGCGUGAGGGAUAGAAGUGGAAAUCCUUUUUUGUGGCUUUUUCAGCCGCAGAAAAGAUUGCAGCGUAUAGCCCGACCCGUU
rnacentral:sRNA from 1 species